rnacentral:rRNA from 1 species
AGAGUUUGAUCCUGGCUCAGAAUCAACGCUGGCGGCGUGCCUCNAAGCGGCAAGUCGAACGCGAAAGUUCCCUUCGGGGAGCAAGUAGAGUGGCGCACGGGUGAGUAACACGUAGGUAAUCUACCUUCCGAUUGGGAAUAACGACCGGAAACGGUUGCUAGUGCCCAAUAAUGCAGCGGCACCUAAUGGCGAAAGUUGUCAGCGCGGGGGAUCGCAGGAACUCGCGUCUGAAGAGGAGCGUGCGGCGCAGUUAGCGGUGGGGGAGGGGAAUGGCAUUUCUCAGGCGAAGGAGCGUGGGCGUGCAGGGGGGGGGGGUGGCAUACUAUGACCUAGCAGAGGGGGGGUGGGACGGGUGAGGGGAGAGGGGCGCGAGCAGCGUGGGGGAACGGGGGGGUAUGCUAGACUUGUUGUAGCGUGCGUGGGGAUAGUCCGCGUCGGAUGGUAGCUACUAGCUGCGAGCGUGGGCAGGGGCGGGUUGGAAAGCGUGGCUUAGGGGGGGG